GCUUUAAACGCCUUGGACCAGCGGCCGACUGUCAAAAAGACCAACACCUCCUGGAGUUUCCGGGCAUCGCCAAACGAGCUCGCUCCUGAACGUCUCCUUCACCUGACAGCAGCUUGAUGGAAGAGGUGAACACCUUUUUCCUCCCAUUUCUACUGAAAAUUCAAUCUCAUGUCCUUUCUCGUCUUCUCAGAGCUCGAGCGCAGAGUGGAAAAGUGGCAUUAUAGACUGCUGAGAACAGGCACUAAUGUGAGGAUUAGGCAGAGAUUAACCAGCUCUUCUUAAGUCCAUUGAGAGUAACUUUUCCUUGUAGAAGAUUUGAAUGGUCAGUGCAGCGUUUCCAACAGCUAGUAGCCUACAUGUGAUAUUAUUAGAAUGUAACUAUGCUAACAUUGUUACACCUGUGACCAGAAAAGAAAACAGUAUGAUCUAUGUAAUAAAAAACACAAGCUA